rnacentral:rRNA from 1 species
GGGUAACAUGGGUAGCAAUACCUGAUGACGACCGGCAAACGGGUGCGGAACACGUACAGAACCUUUCUUCGAGCGGGGAAUAGCCCAGAGAAAUUUGGAUUAAUACCCCAUAGUAUAUUGGAAAGGCAUCUUUUUAAUAUUAAAGAUUUAUUACUUGAAGAUGGCUGUGCGGCUGAUUAGGUAGUUGGCGGGGUAACGGCCCACCAAGCCUGCGAUCAGUAAUUGGUGUGAGAGUAUGAUUAGUCACACGGGCACUGAGACACGGGCCCGACUCCUACGGGAGGCAGCAGUAAGGAAUAUUGGUCAAUGGACGAAAGUCUGAACCAGCCAUGCCGCGUGGAGGAUGAAGGCCCUCUGGGUUGUAAACUUCUUUUAUCUGGGACGAAAAAGGGCCUUUCUAGGUCAACUGACGGUACCAGAUGAAUAAGCACCGGUUAACUCCGUGUUAGUAGUCGUGGUAAUACGGAGGGUGCAAGCGUUAUCCGGAUUCACUGGGUUUAAAGGGUGCGUAGGUGGGUUGGUAAGUCAGUGGUGAAAUCCCCGAGUUUAACUUGGGAACUGCCAUUGAUACUAUCAGUCUUGAAUAUUGUGGAGGUCAGCGGAAUAUGUCAUGUAGCGGUGAAAUGCUUAGAUAUGACAUAGAACAUUAAUUGUGAAGGUAGCUGGCUACGCAUAUAUUGACACUGAGGCACGAAAGCGUGGGGAUUAAAUAGGAUUAGAUAUCCUGGUAGUCCACGCCCUAAACUAUGGAUACUCGACAUACGCGAUAUACUGUGUGUGUCUGAGCGAAAGCAUUAAGUAUCCCACCUGGGAAGUACGAUCGCAAGAUUGAAACUCAAAGGAAUUGGCGGGGGUCCGCACAAGCGGUGGAGCAUGUGGUUUAAUUCGACGAUAUGCGAGGAAUUUUACCUGGGCUAGAAUGCUGGGAGACCGUGGGUGAAAGCUCAUUUUGUAGUAAUACACUCCCAGUAAGGUGCUGCAUGGCUGUCGUCAGCUCGUGCCGUGAGGUGUUGGGUUAAGUCCCGCAACGAGCGCAACCCCCAUCACUAGUUGCCAUCAGGUAACGCUGGGAACUCUAGUGAAACUGCCGUCGUAAGACGUGAGGAAGGAGGGGAUGAUGUCAAGUCAUCAUGGCCUUUAUGCCCAGGGUUACACACGUGCUACGAUGGGGCGUAUAAAGGGUUGCAACAUAGUGAUAUGAAGCAAAUCCCAAAAAACGUCUCUCAGUUUAGAUUGGAGUCUGUAAUUUGACUCCAUGAAGCUGGAAUCGCUAGUAAUCGUAUAUCAGUAAUGAUACGGUGAAUAUGUUUCCGGACCUUGUAUAUAUCGCCCGUUAAGCCAUGGAAGCCGGGUGUACCUAAAGUCGGUAACCGUAAGGAGCCGCCUAGGGUAAAACUGGUGACUGGGGCUAAGUUGUAAUAAGGUA